GACGAACGCUGGCGGCGUGCUUAACACAUGCAAGUCGAACGAAGAGCGAUGGAAGCUUGCUUCUAUCAAUCUUAGUGGCGAACGGGUGAGUAACGCGUAAUCAACCUGCCCUUCAGAGGGGGACAACAGUUGGAAACGACUGCUAAUACCGCAUACGAUCUAAUCUCGGCAUCGAGGAUAGAUGAAAGGUGGCCUCUACAUGUAAGCUAUCACUGAAGGAGGGGAUUGCGUCUGAUUAGCUAGUUGGAGGGGUAACGGCCCACCAAGGCGAUGAUCAGUAGCCGGUCUGAGAGGAUGAACGGCCACAUUGGGACUGAGACACGGCCCAGACUCCUACGGGAGGCAGCAGUGGGGAAUCUUCCGCAAUGGACGAAAGUCUGACGGAGCAACGCCGCGUGAGUGAGGACGGCCUUCGGGUUGUAAAGCUCUGUUAAUCGGGACGAAGGGCCUUCUUGCGAACAGUUAGAAGGAUUGACGGUACCGGAAUAGAAAGCCACGGCUAACUACGUG
rnacentral:rRNA from 1 species